rnacentral:rRNA from 1 species
AUUGAACGCUGGCGGCAGGCCUAACACAUGCAAGUCGCACGAGUGGCGGACGGGUGAGUAAUGUCUGGGAAACUGCCUGAUGGCGGGGGAUAACUACUGGAAACGGUAGCUAAUACCGCAUACCAUCAGAUGUUCCCAGAUGGGAUUAGCUAGUUGGUGGGGUAACGGCUCACCAAGGCGACGAUCCCUAGCUGGUCUGAGAGGAUGACCAGCCACACGGGAACUGAGACACGGUCCAGACGCCUACGGGAGGCAGCAGUGGGGAAUAUUGCACAAAGGGCGCAAGCCUGAUGCAGCCAGGCCGCGUGUAUGAAGAAGGCCGUCGGGUUGUAAAGUACUUUCAGCGGGGAGGCGUUACCCGCAGAAGAAGCACCGGCUAACUCCGUGCCAGCAGCCGCGGUAAUAC